UGAGCCAAAAUCAGGAGUUGGAUGCUUAAUCGACUGAACCACCCAGGUGUUCGAAGAUUAUUUGUGAAAACUAUUAAGAGAAAUCACAAAAAUGGAAAGCAAGAAAAAGAGUGAAAGACCCUCCCUGCUCUGGUGUUCUACUCAACCUGGAUCAUUAUCAGCCCUUUUCCAUUUCAUGACAUAUAUCACAGGUCACAAAUUACAAAUUAUUUCUCAGAUACCAGCAAAAUCAACAGAGACUAGAAAAGUACAGCUAAGUACACUCCUCGCCCUCCUUCAGCCACACGUCUAAGGGUCACCUCCAGCUUACAGAACACUGAGUUUUUCUUCCAGAUUCCUGAAUGCUGAGUCACACUUAAGCCACAGCUCAACAUCUCUUGUUGGAAUUUUGAAAUGACGACUUGGUGCUGGUGACCCUGCUUUGAUCAUAAAAUGAGAACAAGACUUUAAAAAAUAAGGCUUUAAAAAAUAAGGAAACAACAUGAUAGCCAGAAACUGGGUUGAAUGAACCUGUGAUUAAGUGCUGUCUAUCCAUUAGAAACACCUGCCUGUGUUUGAACUGUUAGGUGCAAGAAAAGUAAAUGUCUACUAUGUGUGAGCCCCACCUUUUUUUGUUUUGUUUUGUUCUCAUUGUUGCAACAUAUAUCCUAAUUUGUAACAGUUUCUUUGCUACCGCUGCAGUCUCCUCUCUUAACCAGUUUUCCUGGAGCAGUUGACCUUUGGUUUAGGCUCAGCUCACGAUUUCACAGUUGGUGGGUUUAAGAGAAUCUGAUGC